rnacentral:rRNA from 1 species
CCGGCGGACGGGUGCGUAACGCGUAUGCAACCUGCCUGACACAGGGGGAUAAUCCGAAGAAAUUUGGUCUAAUACCCCAUAAUACCGAUAUAGGCAUCUAUGUUGGUUGAAAGCUUUGGUGGUGUCAGAUGGGCAUGCGUUGUAUUAGCUAGUUGGUGAGGUAACGGCUCACCAAGGCGGCGAUACAUAGGGGGACUGAGAGGUUAACCCCCCACACUGGUACUGAGACACGGACCAGACUCCUACGGGAGGCAGCAUG